rnacentral:rRNA from 1 species
AACGAACGCUGGCGGCAUGCCUAACACAUGCAAGUCGAACGAGACCUUCGGGUCUAGUGGCGCACGGGUGCGUAACGCGUGGGAAUCUACCCUUGGGUUCGGAAUAACAGUUAGAAAUGACUGCUAAUACCGGAUGAUGACGUAAGUCCAAAGAUUUAUCGCCCAAGGAUGAGCCCGCGUAAGAUUAGCUUGUUGGUGGGGUAAUGGCCUACCAAGGCGACGAUCUUUAGCUGGUCUGAGAGGAUGAUCAGCCACACUGGGACUGAGACACGGCCCAGACUCCUACGGGAGGCAGCAGUGGGGAAUAUUGGACAAUGGGCGAAAGCCUGAUCCAGCAAUGCCGCGUGAGUGAUGGAGGCCUUAGGGUUGUAAAGCUCUUUUACCAGGGAUGAUAAUGACAAUACCUGGAGAAUAAGCUCCGGCUAACUCCGUGCCAGCCGCCGCAGUAA